rnacentral:rRNA from 1 species
CCUACGUGUGUCAGCAGUGGGGAAUCUUGCACAAUGGGGGGAACCCUGACCCAGCGACGCCGCGUGAGUGAAGAAGUAUUUCGGUAUGUAAAGCUCUAUCAGCAGGGAAGAAAAUGAAGGUAGCUGACUAAGAAGCACCGGCGAACUAAUUGCACGCAGCCGCGCUAUUACGUAGGAUUCAAGAGUUUUCCGGAUUUAUUGGGUGUAAAGGGUGCGUAGGCGGUCGGGUAAGUUAGAGGUGAAAUCCCGAGGCUCAACUUCGGGAGUGCCUCUGAUACUGUUCGGCUAGAGAGUAGGUGAGGUAGGCGGAAUGUAUGGUGUAGCGGUGACAGGCGUAGAGAUCAGACAGAACACCGAUUGCGAAGGCGGCUUACUAAGCCACUUCUGACGUUGAGGCACGAAAGCGUGGGGAGCAAACAGGAUUAGAUACCCUUGUAGUC